GGCUGAAAUUACGCCUUCCAUGAAGCUGGAAUUGCUAGUAAUGGCAGGUCAGCAUACUGCCGUGAAUACGUUCCCGGGCCUUGUACACACCGCCCGUCACACCAUGAGAGUUGGGAAUACCCGAAGCCUGUGAGCUAACUUAUAGAGGCAGCAGUCGAAGGUAGAAUCAAUGAUUGGGGUGAAGUCGUAACAAGGUAUC
rnacentral:rRNA from 1 species